rnacentral:rRNA from 1 species
CACUAUCGUUAACUGAAUACAUAGGUUAACGAGGCGAACCGGGGGAACUGAAACAUCUAAGUACCCCGAGGAAAAGAAAUCAACCGAGAUUCCCCCAGUAGCGGCGAGCGAACGGGGAGCAGCCCAGAGUCUGAAUCAGCUUGUGUGUUAGUGGAAGCGUCUGGAAAGUCGCACGGUACAGGGUGACAGUCCCGUACACGAAAAUGCACAGGUUGUGAACUCGAAGAGUAGGGCGGGACACGUGGUAUCCUGUCUGAAUAUGGGGGGACCAUCCUCCAAGGCUAAAUACUCCUGACUGACCGAUAGUGAACCAGUACCGUGAGGGAAAGGCGAAAAGAACCCCGGCGAGGGGAGUGAAAAAGAACCUGAAACCGUGUACGUACAAGCAGUGGGAGCACCUUCGUGGUGUGACUGCGUACCUUUUGUAUAAUGGGUCAGCGACUUAUAUUCUGUAGCAAGGUUAACCGUAUAGGGGAGCCGAAGGGAAACCGAGUCUUAACUGGGCGUUAAGUUGCAGGGUAUAGACCCGAAACCCGGUGAUCUAGCCAUGGGCAGGUUGAAGGUUGGGUAACACUAACUGGAGGACCGAACCGACUAAUGUUGAAAAAUUAGCGGAUGACUUGUGGCUGGGGGUGAAAGGCCAAUCAAACCGGGAGAUAGCUGGUUCUCCCCGAAAGCUAUUUAGGUAGCGCCUCGUGAACUCAUCUUCGGGGGUAGAGCACUGUUUCGGCUAGGGGGCCAUCCCGGCUUACCAACCCGAUGCAAACUACGAAUACCGAAGAAUGUUAUCACGGGAGACACACGGCGGGUGCUAACGUCCGUCGUGAAGAGGGAAACAACCCAGACCGCCAGCUAAGGUCCCAAAGUCAUGGUUAAGUGGGAAACGAUGUGGGAAGGCCCAGACAGCCAGGAUGUUGGCUUAGAAGCAGCCAUCAUUUAAAGAAAGCGUAAUAGCUCACUGGUCGAGUCGGCCUGCGCGGAAGAUGUAACGGGGCUAAACCAUGCACCGAAGCUGCGGCAGCGACACUAUGUGUUGUUGGGUAGGGGAGCGUUCUGUAAGCCGUUGAAGGUGGCCUGUGAGGGCUGCUGGAGGUAUCAGAAGUGCGAAUGCUGACAUAAGUAACGAUAAAGCGGGUGAAAAGCCCGCUCGCCGGAAGACCAAGGGUUCCUGUCCAACGUUAAUCGGGGCAGGGUGAGUCGACCCCUAAGGCGAGGCCGAAAGGCGUAGUCGAUGGGAAACAGGUUAAUAUUCCUGUACUUGGUGUUACUGCGAAGGGGGGACGGAGAAGGCUAUGUUAGCCGGGCGACGGUUGUCCCGGUUUAAGCAUGUAGGCGGAGGUUCCAGGUAAAUCCGGUACCUUUUUAACGCUGAGGUGUGAUGACGAGGCACUACGGUGCUGAAGUAACAAAUGCCCUGCUUCCAGGAAAAGCCUCUAAGCAUCAGGUAACA